rnacentral:tRNA from 1 species
GGCGAGUUAGCUCAGCUGGUUAGAGCGCAUGAUUCAUAAUCAUGAGGUCCUGAGUUCAAGUCUCAGACUCGCUACCA